UACGUAGGGAGCAAGCGUUGUCCGGAAUCAUUGGGCGUAAAGCGCGCGUAGGCGGCCUUGUAAGUCCGUUGUGAAAGUCAAAGGCUCAACCUUUGAAAGCCGAUGGAUACUGUGAGGCUAGAGUCCGGAAGAGGCGAGUGGAAUUCCUGGUGUAGCGGUGGAAUGCGCAGAUAUCAGGAGGAACACCAAUAGCGAAGGCAGCUCGCUGGGACGGUACUGACGCUAAGGCGCGAAAGCGUGGGGAGCGAACAGG
rnacentral:rRNA from 1 species